UGGAUAUUAGUUAAUUAAAUAACAUUUAAAUUGCAUUUAAAAAUUAAUAAAAAAUAUUAUAUCUAA